rnacentral:misc_RNA from 1 species
UCUCCGUAGGUGAACCUGCUGAGGGAUCAUUACUGAGUAAGGGCCUCCGGGCCUGACCUCCAACCCUUUUGUGAACCACCUCGUUGCUUCGGGGGCGACCCUGCCUUUCGGCGCGGCGCCCCCGGAGGCUCAUCAAACACUGCAUCUUUGCGUCGGAGUCUCAAUCAAUUUAAACAAAACUUUUAACAACGGAUCUCUUGGUUCUGGCAUCGAUGAAGAACCAGC